rnacentral:rRNA from 1 species
UACGUAGGGUGCAAGCGUUGUCCGGAAUUAUUGGGCGUAAAGAGCGUGUAGGCGGCCGCACAGGUCCGUUGUGAAAACUGGAGGCUUAACCUUCAGACGUCGAUGGAAACCGUGCGGCUAGAGUCCGGAAGAGGAGAAUGGAAUUCCUGGUGUAGCGGUGAAAUGCGCAGAUAUCAGGAGGAACACCGGUGGCGAAGGCGGGUCUCUGGGCCGAUACUGACGCUGAGGAGCGAAAGCGUGGGGAGCGAACAGG